rnacentral:rRNA from 1 species
CGUUAAAUUGUUGAAAGGGAAGCGCUUGCAAUCAGACUUUCACUUGGUGUUCAUCAGGGUCUCGUUCCCUGUGUACUUCAUCAAGUUCAGGCCAGCAUCAGUUUGAGUGGUUAGAUAAAGGCUUAGAGAAUGUGGCCCUCUUCGGGGGGUGUUAUAGCUCUAGGUGCAAUGUAGCCUACUUGGACUGAGGACCGCGCUUCGGCUAGGAUGCUGGCGUAAUGGUUGUAAGCGACCCGUCUUGAAACACGG